UACAGGGGGUGCAAACGUUGCUCGGAAUCAUUGGGCGUAAAGCGCACGUAGGCGGUUCGUUAUGUCGGAUGUGAAAGCCCUUGGCUUAACCGGGGAAGUGCAUCCGAAACUGGCGAGCUAGAGUACGAAAGAGGAUCGCGGAAUUCCCGGUGUAGAGGUGAAAUUCGUAGAUAUCGGGAGGAACACCGGUGGCGAAGGCGGCGAUCUGGGUCGAUACUGACGCUGAGGCACGAAAGCGUGGGGAGCAAACAGG
rnacentral:rRNA from 1 species